UGUAGAAUGGAAUUUUUGUCAGUUUUGUGAAGUGUCUAAAACGAAUUUUUUUUGUCGAGUGCGAAGUCUGCGACACAAAAAAAAUUGUUAAUUUUUGAAUUCUCAAAACAAUAAAAAUAUGUAUGAUCUUUGAGUUUAAUUUUCCCAAUUUUAAUAAGUUCUAAAUUUGUAGAUGAAGGAAGAAGGCCUAUUUUUGAGAAUCUUAGCAUUAAUGAAUCAAAACCUUCAACCUCGACAAAUGGAGAAACAAGAACAAUUAGAAAUGAAACUUUAGAAAAUACGCAAAAUUGUUCAACUGCAGAAACGGGGGCUAGAUCUCAAAGUGUUUAUUCUUCAUCGAGG